AAAAAAAAAAAAAAAACCUGAUGAUAUUUCUAUACAUGAAGGUAUUAUUUACAGAAAUUAAUGGGAAGGCUGUAUGACAGGGAAGAUACUUGUCUUUCAGGGAGGGGCUGAGGCCUUUAGAUAUAAGUUGAAUUAUUGUCUCUGUUUUUAUGUUGUACAGAGUCCAAGGAAUUCAAAGGCUCCAAGGCCUCUUCCAUGCCCUAUACAACUACCACCAGGCAUGCUAGGAAAUCCUAGAAAGCAGCUCCCGGGACUUCAGGGUCCAGAAUCUUUAAAAAUGUCAUCAAUUGUCAUAUUCUGUGCUCAAGGAUAACCCUAGAGUUGAGUGGAAUGUUGCUGGGAUACAAAGUUGACAUCAGUAAACCUGGAGUUCUAUAUAAUAAUGGCAUCACAAAACAUCCCACCAGCAGCCCGAUUACAAGAAUCUUAUUCCCACUGUUGACCGAGUCUGCCUUAGUCAAUGCAAAGUCGUAAUGAGGCCAUGUCUAGACAGUAUUGAUCUCCUACCAGAAAAAAAUAAUUCAGAGUGUGACUUCUUUUCAAGCUUAAUCCAAAUGACACCCCAAUCGGGAUCAUUCAAUCACACAUUACCAACACUUCUCCAACUAAGCAGCCAAGGACACGUACAGACUUCUUCGCAAGAAGCUACUAGAGCCCACCCAGGCAUACAGCUAGACACAUUUGCCAGCUCUGAUACAGCUAUGUGGGUUGAAGUGACUGAGUUCCGAUCAAUGGAAUAUGGCAGAAAUGAGGUAUGCCUCUUCCUCAAAGGGUCCAUGUAAUCUUUCAGGUUCUAUCCCUUCCUUUCUUUUUCCCUCCUCAACAGCUCUGAAAGCUACUUGCUUAAGAAUUCAGAGCUACAAGAUGGAAGGAACAUCCUACCCAAACCUUGGAGGAGAGCCACCCUUCCAAAACAUUUGUAAUGGAUUCUGAAUGAGUAAAAAACUUUUUUUAUGUUAAAUUACUGACAUUUGCUAUUGCUCACUACAGCAAUUAGCCUUCCUCAUAGUUUCCCACCUACUUAUAUUUUGGAUGACAUAAUUAUUUGUUAUGGAGGGUUGUCAUGUGCACUGUAGGAUAUUUAGCAGCAUUCCUGGCUCCUACCAAUGUGAUGUCAGUAAUACCUUCUCCCUUAAUUGUGACAACCAAAAAAUGUCUUUAGACAUUGAUAAAUGUCACUUGGGGGUAAGAGGAGGAGAUGGGAGAGAGGGGAUAAAUCAUCCUUGGUUUAAAAGCACUGGCCCAUCCUGACCAAAAUAUCAUCAUUAACUGUUCUCAUCAUAAUCACAAGUGGGAACUCAAAGAACAAAAUCACUUUUAUUAAAAAAAGAAUACUAAAUGCACAGGUAGAAGAAGUUCCAUGUUUAACAAAUACUUGUAGAAUACCUACUAUGAUAUAGGCACUGUGCUGAGUAUAAACUGGUGAAUAAAAUAGAUCUAAUUCUUGUUCUCAGUGAGAUGAAAAGUAAAUAAGAAUAUGGCAAGUUUUUCUAACAGUUUAAGCACAGUUUUAAUUGACCAGUGUCAUAAGUAGAAUUCUAAAGAUGUCCCUGCAGGAUUCUUGCCCCUGGUCAUUCAAUAAAACUUCAAUCUAGGUGCUACUGCGAAUGAAUUUUUCAGAUGCAAUUAAGGUUACUAGACAGCUGGCUUUGACAUUGGGAGAUUAUUCUGGAUUAUUUGGGUUUGUCCAAUGUAGUCACAUGAGGCCCUGAAACAUAAGUGGGAAGUAUAAAAAUCAGUCAGAGAGAGAUGGCAGAAUCAGAUGCAGAGAAGGGAUACAGCAGAUGGGAAGUCAGAGAGAUUACAAGCAUGGGAAAGAUUAGAUGUGCUCUUAAUUGUUCUGAGAUGUAAAAGCCAAAGGUGAAAACUGGAGAGAGGCCUGUAGAAGGCAAGGGUGGUCCCUAACUAAAAGUCAUCAAGGAAACCAGGAUUUCAGUCCUACAACCUCAGGAACUGAAUUCUGUCAACAACUUGAAUGAGCUGAAAAGUAGAUUUUUCCCUAAAGCCUCCAGAAAAGGACAUGGUCUGGCUGACACCUUGAUUUUAGCCCAUGGCAACCUAUGUUAGGCUUCUGACUUGCAGAGACUGUGAGAUAAAAACUGUAUGUUGUUUAGGGCCACUAAGUUCAUAGAAUUUGUUCUACCUCAAUAGAAAACUAAUAAAUCAUUGUGCCUUAAGUAACUUAGAGAACAGGUUGAAGAAAACUAAUAUUAAAAUGUGCCUUAUCCUUCAUCAGAGUCAGGUUUGCUAAGUACUUGACAGGUAUUCAUUUGUGGAAUAAAUGAAUUUAUUCAUAUUUUCAUUCAUUUGCUUAAAAAUACAUAUUACUUCUUCUUUCAUGGUCCCUGGGAGAGGUAUGGAGGAUACAAUAGUGAAAAAGAUAUUGUCCUUUACUUCUAAUUGCUCAUAAUGGAAGUGGAGGAUGGAAAUAUAUAUAACCAACAAUAGUACAGAGAAAGUAUAAGGGCCUUAACACAGCCUUAAUAUAUAUACAAAAGAAAGUAUGAAUAAAAUACAAGGAGCCAUGGAAUAAAAAUCACAGCUAACAUCUAUUGAGUACUUGUCUCACUCAUCUAUACAACAAGGCUCUGCAGCUGAGGAAGCUG
rnacentral:lncRNA from 9 species